rnacentral:ncRNA from 1 species
ACGCGCUGGCGGGACUCGGUGUAAUUCCGAACCGGCGGUGAUCCACGGCGUGACCGUGGUAAGCCCGCGACCCGGUCGGCCUCGUGCCGCCCGGUGGACCUGGUGAGAAUCCGGGGCCGACGGUUGGGAGCGGGCAACCCCCGCCCCCAGACAGUCCGGAUGGGAGACAGCGCGC